UACGUAGGUGGCAAGCGUUGUCCGGAAUUAUUGGGCGUAAAGCGCGCGCAGGCGGUCCUUUAAGUCUGAUGUGAAAACCUAGGGCUUAACUCUGGGCGUGCAGUGGGUACGGGCAGACUAGAGUGCGGUAGGGGAGACUGGAAUUCCUGGUGUAGCAGUGAAAUGCGUAGAUAUCAGGAGGAACACCGAUGGCGAAGGCAGGUCACUGGGCCGCAACUGACGCUGAGGAGCGAAAGCAUGGGUAGCGAACAGG
rnacentral:rRNA from 1 species